UGCAGUCGAACGGUGAAAGAGGAGCUUGCUCCUCUGGAUCAGUGGCGAACGGGUGAGUAACACGUGAGUAACCUGCCCCAGACUCUGGGAUAAGCACUGGAAACGGUGUCUAAUACCGGAUACGAGCUUCAGCCGCAUGGCUAGGAGCUGGAAAGAAUUUCGGUCUGGGAUGGACUCGCGGCCUAUCAGCUAGUUGGUGAGGUAAUGGCUCACCAAGGCGACGACGGGUAGCCGGCCUGAGAGGGUGACCGGCCACACUGGGACUGAGACACGGCCCAGACUCCUACGGGAGGCAGCAGUGGGGAAUAUUGCACAAUGGGCGCAAGCCUGAUGCAGCAACGCCGCGUGAGGGACGACGGCCUUCGGGUUGUAAACCUCUUUUAGUAGGGAAGAAGCGAAAGUGACGGUACCUGCAGAAAAAGCACCGGCUAACUACGUGCCAGCAGCCGCGGUAAUACGUAGGGUGCAAGCGUUAUCCGGAAUUAUUGGGCGUAAAGAGCUCGUAGGCGGUUUGUCGCGUCUGCUGUGAAAACUGGAGGCUCAACCUCCAGCCUGCAGUGGGUACGGGCAGACUAGAGUGCGGUAGGGGAGAUUGGAAUUCCUGGUGUAGCGGUGGAAUGCGCAGAUAUCAGGAGGAACACCGAUGGCGAAGGCAGAUCUCUGGGCCGUAACUGACGCUGAGGAGCGAAAGCAUGGGGAGCGAACAGGAUUAGAUACCCUGGUAGUCCAUGCCGUAAACGUUGGGAACUAGAUGUAGGGACCAUUCCACGGUUUCUGUGUCGCAGCUAACGCAUUAAGUUCCCCGCCUGGGGAGUACGGCCGCAAGGCUAAAACUCAAAGGAAUUGACGGGGGCCCGCACAAGCGGCGGAGCAUGCGGAUUAAUUCGAUGCAACGCGAAGAACCUUACCAAGGCUUGACAUAUACCGGAAAAGUUCAGAAAUGUUCUCCCCGCAAGGUCGGUAUACAGGUGGUGCAUGGUUGUCGUCAGCUCGUGUCGUGAGAUGUUGGGGUUAAGUCCCGCAACGAGCGCAACCCUCG
rnacentral:rRNA from 1 species